CUGAUGAGAAGAGUCGCAGCUGAAUAGUGAGAGAAAAAGCCUGGUAUUUAUUGCUUUUGUUUGGCUUUUGGCUACAGAGACAGGAACCUUCUAAUGGGGGUUUCUCUGUGUAGCCCUGGCUAUCCUAGACCUUGCUGUGAAGACCGGCUGGCCUUGAACUCAGAGAUCAACCUGCUUCAGGAUGGCUGGUAUUAAAGCACAGUCUUUCUGUAAUUCAAAACUCAGUCUGCAAACCAACGGAAAGGAGAGGAGGAAGCUAGAAGAGUUGCACAGACCACUUAGGCCCUGGCAGUGGGCAGAUGGGACCAGUGCCUAAGACAGCAGCAUUGUCUGAGAGGAGAGUGCACUUGUGACCAAAUAAACUCCUGAAAUGCUGAGCAAAAGGUAGUGGAACAGAUGGAGAUUUGAAACCACAACUGUGGAAACAGACCUGCAUAGGGUCAAGCCAGACCUACCUAGUGAUUCUUGGUCCCCAGUACUCUCAAGCUACAUAUACUUAGUAGUAUACUUAGAAUUCGCCACACCAUACCAUCACCUGGCCUGCCCUCCUUCCUAGGAUCUUAUACUCCAGUUAUACCUGUUGGCUCAGACAGGAGCCUAGCUAGCAUGGCUGUCCUCUGAGAGGCUCUACCGGUGUCUGACUGAGACAGAUACAGCCAACCAUUGGACUGAGGUUGGAGACCUCUACUGAAGAGUUAAGGGAAGGAUUGGAGGAGCUGAAGGAUUGGAUGGCAACCCCAUAAAAAGACCAACAGUAUCAACUAACUUGGAUACCUCAUACAUGCUUUGGCUAAGUUUUCAUGAAUCUCUGUCUAGGCACUGUUGCCUUCCCAGGGUGAAGGAGCUUGAUGACCAGAUAUAGUCAGCUAUUAAUGAAUUUCUUAUCUUGGAUAGUCACCAAGUCAUUCACAGUGGUGGCAGAUUGGCAAGAAACCAUGG
rnacentral:lncRNA from 1 species